AUGGCCUCUCAGCCUUUUGGCUAAGAUCAUGUGUAGUAUCUGUUCUUAUCAGUUUAAUAUCUGAUACGUCCCCUACCUGGGGACCAUAUAUUAAAUUGAUUUUUGGAACAGGGAGAUGGAAUAGGGGGUUACUCCAUCCACUCCGUGCAUUGACCUGGUAUUGCGGUACCGCUCCAGGAACGGUGCACCCCCU